UCUUCCAGCUGCUAUCCUGGCUGCUGUUGCCGACUGUCUCCAAAUCACUUCCUGGUUCCGGGUCCGUAAUGCAUUUCGCCCCACCCACAGGGCUUUGUCAAACAGCUGAUCAGUGAUUUGGAGACAGUUGGCAAUAGCAGCCGGAAGAUUUUUUUACAUUACAUGAGUAUAUGGAACUUUCUUUGCGGUUUCCUGAGGCUGGUGAGCGGACU